rnacentral:lncRNA from 1 species
AUUUUAGAUAUGAUGCUAAACAGUGUUGUGAUAAAGAUGUUUUGUUUUAUUAUUUGCAGGCAUACAAUAUCAGCAUAUAUAUAAGCACUUAGGAAGUUGGGAGUGUAUUACAGGAUCACUUGAACACAAUACACACAAUAUCAAGAUUAAAGGCUGGCUGAAAUACCCUGUACCUUGGUUCUCUGGCGCAGAAUUUCUCUUAAAUUUGUUGCUCAAAUACUGAAGUUCCCUAUAACUUAUAGAGAAAUUUAAUGUUGGACACAGUAAUCCUUUCCUGGUGUUUCUGGGGGUGGGAAUAUGCUGAAAAGAGGCAGUAGAACACAGAAAUUAAGGCACAAACUGUCUAAUGAAAUGUAGAUGCCAGGAAAUAUGCCAGUUAUCUGUGUUUCCACCAUAUUAUAGGAGAAAAAUGGGGGAAGAGUAGGACAUAAGUCCUCUCUUCCUGCAGGGCUAAAGCUGUGCAGAUAAAUAAUAUUCUAUAAAAGCCAGUGUCUCUGAUGACCAUAAAAGAAGGCUCAGAUGAAUAACUUGGAAGAAGAACUUUCCUUUGUGUUUAAAAUAGAUCUUUUAGUCUUCUGAGUUGAACACACAGGACCAAACACAGCUGAUCAAACAAAUAAGUUGCAGCUCGACAAACUGGCACUUUUCUUGGACUUUCUUUCAUGGGGAGAUUUCUGACUAGCUUGAAACAAAGCUGCUAACAUCUCAUUGCAGGAGGGACUCUUCCAAAAAGAAGCUGUAUUGGCAGCUCCAUUCAGACUGGAAUGGGUUUCCUAUUUUCUCUGUAGGGGAUGCUGUCUCUUCUAAGCCAUGCUCUUCAGCCUUUUAAUUGGUGUUUGCUACUUAUAUAAAAGUGCAAAAUAUAA